UGGUUCUGGCAUCGAUGAAGAACGCAGCGAAAUGCGAUAAGUAAUGCGAAUUGCAGAAUUCCGUGAGUCAUCGAAUCUUUGAACGCACAUUGCGCCCUUUGGCAUUCCGAAGGGCAUGCCUGUUCGAGCGUCAUUAUCAACCCUCAAGCUUAGCUUGGUGUUGGGCUACGGUAGUCAUUCACCGGCCCUAAAGGCAACGACGGUGUCCCCGGGACCCCUGGUACAAUGAGCUUUUUAUAAGGCACGUACUAUGGUGGGCCCGGGACGCAGUCUCUCUUCAUUUUCUCAGGUUGACCUCGGAUCAGGUAGGGAUACCCGCUGA
rnacentral:misc_RNA from 1 species